UACUCUUGCGGUACGUCAUUAUCUUCCCGCACAAAAGAGCUUUACAACCCUAGGGACUUCAUCACUCACGCGGCAUGGCUGGAUCAGGGUUGCCCCCAUUGUCCAAUAUUCCCCACUGCUGCCUCCCGUAGGA
rnacentral:rRNA from 1 species